GCGUCUUUAGUGCAGCGGUUCAGCACGCGCUCCCGGAAAGAGUGAAAUCUGAGUUCGAAUCACAGCUGACACA